rnacentral:rRNA from 1 species
AUCCUGGCUCAGAAUGAACGCUGGCGGCGUGCUUAACACAUGCAAGUCGCACGAGAACGUUCCAGCUUGCUGGAGCAAGUAAAGUGGCGCACGGGUGAGUAACGCGUGGAUGAUCUACCCUUGAAUUUGGGAUAACUCUUCGAAAGGGGAGCUAAUACCGGAUAACAUCACAUUUUUUUCGAAUUUUGUGAUCAAAGAUGGCCUCUCCAUGGAAGCUAUUGUUUAAGGAUGAGUCCGCGUACCAUUAGCUAGUUGGUAGGGUAAAGGCCUACCAAGGCAACGAUGGUUAGCUGGUCUGAGAGGAUGACCAGUCACACUGGAACUGACACACGGUCCAGACUCCUACGGGAGGCAGCAGUGAGGAAUUUUGCGCAAUGGGGGAAACCCUGACGCAGCAACGCCGCGUGAGUGAUGAAGGCCUUCGGGUCGUAAAGCUCUGUCAAGUGGGAAGAACCUAUGUGUGGGUAAUAUUCACAUGUACUGACGGUACCACUGAAGGAAGCACCGGCUAACUCCGUGCCAGCAGCCGCGGUAAUACGGGGGGUGCAAGCGUUAUUCGGAAUUAUUGGGCGUAAAGGGCGCGUAGGCGGUCUUGUUAGUCAGAUGUGAAAGCCCGGGGCUCAACCCCGGAAGUGCAUUUGAAACGGCAAGACUUGAGUAUGGGAGAGGGAAGUGGAAUUCCUGGUGUAGAGGUGAAAUUCGUAGAUAUCAGGAGGAACAUCUGUGGCGAAGGCGACUUCCUGGACCAAUACUGACGCUAAUGCGCGAAGGCGUGGGUAGCAAACAGGAUUAGAUACCCUGGUAGUCCACGCAGUAAACGGUGAUCACUAGGUGUAGCGGGUAUUGACCCCUGCUGUGCCGCAGUUAACGCAUUAAGUGAUCCGCCUGGGGAGUACGAUCGCAAGAUUAAAACUCAAAGGAAUUGACGGGGGCCCGCACAAGCGGUGGAGCAUGUGGUUUAAUUCGACGCAACGCGAAGAACCUUACCUGGAUUUGACAUCCCGGGAAUCCCUUAGAAAUUUGGGAGUGCCCUUCGGGGAGCCUGGAGACAGGUGCUGCAUGGCUGUCGUCAGCUCGUGUCGUGAGAUGUUGGGUUAAGUCCCGCAACGAGCGCAACCCUUAUCUUUAGUUACCAGCACUUCGGGUGGGGACUCUAGAGAUACUGCCCCGGUCAACGGGGAGGAAGGUGGGGAUGACGUCAAGUCCUCAUGGCCUUUAUGUCCAGGGCUACACACGUGCUACAAUGGGCGGAACAAAGGGUAGCAAUGCCGCGAGGUGGAGCUAAUCUCAAAAAGCCGUUCCAAGUUCGGAUUGGAGUCUGCAACUCGACACCAUGAAGCUGGAAUCGCUAGUAAUCGCGGAUCAGCAUGCCGCGGUGAAUACGCUCCCGGGCCUUGUACACACCGCCCGUCACACCAUGAGAGUUGGUUGUACCAGAAGUUGUUGGGCUAACUCAAUCGAGAGGCAGGCACCUAAGGUAUGGCUGAUGAUUGGGGUGAAGUCGUAACAAGGUA